GCUUACACCAUCAGCAUAUACUAAAAUUAGAACAACACAGAGAGUAUUAGCAUGGCCCCUGCAUAAGGAUGACAUGGAAAUUUGAGAAGUCUUCCAUACAUUA
ensembl:snRNA U6 U6 spliceosomal RNA